AGCGAACGCUGGCGGCAGGCCUAACACAUGCAAGUCGAGCGCCCAGCAAUGGGAGCGGCAGACGGGAGAGUAACACGUGGGAACGUACCUUUCAGUUCGGAACAACCAAGGGAAACUUUGGCUAAUACCGGAUACGCCCGUAAGGGGAAAGAUUUAUCGCUGAAAGAUCGGCCCGCGUCUGAUUAGCUUGUUGGUGAGGUAACGGCUCACCAAGGCGACGAUCAGUAGCUGGUCUGAGAGGAUGAUCAGCCUCACUGGGACUGAGACACGGCCCAGACUCCUACGGGAGGCAGCAGUGGGGAAUAUUGGACAAUGGGCGCAAGCCUGAUCCAGCCAUGCCGCGUGGAUGAUGACGGCCCUAGGGUUGUAAAGUCCUUUUAACGGGGAAGAUAAUGACGGUACCCGUAGAAUAAGCCCCGGCUAACUUCGUGCCAGCAGCCGCCGUAA
rnacentral:rRNA from 1 species